rnacentral:rRNA from 1 species
GACGUAGGGCGCGAGCGUUGUCCGGAUUUACUGGGCGUAAAGAGCUCGUAGGCGGCUCAUUGCGUCAACCGUGAAAACCAGCAGCUCAACUGUUGGCUUGCGGUUGAGUACGGGUGGGCUGGAGUUCGGUAGGGGAGACUGGAAUUCCUGGUGUAGCGGUGAAAUGCGCAGAGUAUCAGGAGGGAACACCGGUGGCGAAGGCGGGGUCUCUGGGGCCGAUACUGACGCUGAGGAGCGAAAGCGUGGGGAGCGAACAGGG